rnacentral:rRNA from 1 species
UACGAAUCGUCCAAACGUUGUUCGGAUUUACUGGGUUUAAAGGGCGCGUAGGCGGUGCGUUAAGUCGGCGGUGAAAUACUUCGGCUCAACCGGAGAAUUGCCGCUGAAACUGGCGUGCUCGAGGGAGGUAGAGGUGCGUGGAACUUCCGGUGGAGCGGUGAAAUGCGUUGAUAUCGGAAGGAACACCUGUGGCGAAAGCGAUGCACUGGACCUCAUCUGACGCUGAGGCGCGAAAGCCAGGGGAGCGAACGGG